rnacentral:lncRNA from 1 species
AUUCAUGGUCAUAGCAGUCUACAGGGUGGUCAAGUACAUCUUCACAGACUUUGUGGCUCCGUUGGUGGGGUUUGUCAGGCAGACAGUUGUUACUAUCGUCAAAGACUAUUCCUCUGGAAGUCAGGUUCCUGCAGAUACCUUCUUCUUCAGAGAAAUAGUUGUCAGAGACGGUAAGGUUCUGCAGGCUAGGCAGAACGCAGACUCCAAGAGGGACAGCGCCAGUGAACAUGUUAUGGUCCAGAUUCAGCAGCUCAAGAUGUCCUAGCCCAGCGAGACUGUAAGGCACAGGACCAACUAAAGCCCUAGGACUCACCAAACCGGCCGAAUUGUGAGCUUUCGCUGGUCCUGGAGCCGGAGCAAGAGCUUCAGAUUCAGAAAGAACCACUCUCGGAGAAGGCGCAGGAGAUGACAAAGCCUGAUGGCUUGGAGACAGAGUCGAUGACGGUGAGGGCGAUGGAGAUGGCUGACGAGGACUGUGGCUGUGGUGGGCGGUGGACAUGACCUUGACGGGUAGCUUCUGACCUUUGAGACAAUUUUCUGAGUUGCCGCUGACAAAAAAGAACGGACCUGAGCGGCUAAGAACAUAGAGAGAGUCUCCGUCCGUGAGGGAGGUUAUUGGGUGAGUAGUGUUGCAUGUGUUGAAUUCUUCUUCACUCACCUCCAACACUGAAUCUUUCCCCUUAGGGUACUUAAAAUCUAGCAAAAUCAAAAGUCGAAUUAGUUGAUAUAUAGUAUCAUGAAUUAUGAUGUUACUAUUAUGACAUUAACACAUGAAUGUGUAUAUAGAAGAGGAGAGAGAGAGAGAGACUUACAAAGAGUGUCAUUGACCUGAAACCGGCUUCGAUAAGACCAAUGAGAAUAGUCCUCGGAUGGAGUAAGGACCCAACCAUCUCUCCCACCAACAUAGAACUUGUACCCAUUUGAAAACCCAAUUGCAAACCCCAAACUCACUAACAUCACAGUCAUCAAAUAAGCAUCAAACCUUUUGAUCAAACCCAUCUCUCCAAACUUUGACUAGACCUCAAAUAAAUCAGUCUCUUGAAAUGUGUGUUGCUCUUCAGUGCUUGUAUGCGUAUUUAUAGUGAAAGUAGAGAAGUCAUAGCCGUUAACUUUUGGCUGCAUCAACUUCGACUCUCUAGAGAAUAUGCAAAAUUAAUAAGAAGCGUUUCAAGUUUUGCUCCUCUCUUGUUUUCUUCACACGUUUUAACAUGCAAUGGACUUAACGGCCAUCUCUCUUCUUUUCACACUUUUUAUUUACUCCCUCCGCAAAUCACAAACAACCAUUUGAAACUAGAUCUUCUAAUUUGUCAGUCAUUUAAUAUAAAGGUGAAAUUCAAUUUUUUUUUAAAAAAUAACUUGCGUAACGUAUUGUCUUCAUUUUAUAUAAGAAAAAAGAGGUAUUAACUCUGGACAGAAAGUAUACAAAUGAGCUAAAAGCCUAAAAAACCAACUAGGAGUUCAAAAUAAUUAAAAAACUAAUGUGCUUUUGUAAAUGAUCAAGAAUGUUAAAAGAAAGGCUUUAAAGAUUUUAUCCUCUAUAUUUACAGCCCAACUAGUUGGACAAUAUUAGAAUAAACUUUUUACUAUUUUCAUGUAACAUAACACAUUUCUUUCUUUUUUUUGUCAACGUAACAUAACACAUUUCAUCCUCUACCUUUAAAGCCCAACUAUUUCUAUAAGUGGAUGGAUGCUUUCUUCAGUAUGCCUAGCUUAGAGAGGAGCUAAUUGUGAAGCUUCAAAAUAUUCUUCAGCCACGUAUAUUUAGCUUCUGAUACAGCCAACAAUCUUCUACUGCUUCCUCUACAGUCUGAAGAAAACCCAAACCCUAGUUUCACUAGAAGUUGUGAGAUGGAAAAGCUGGAACCUCUAGGGGUUUUGGGAUCAGAGUUCAAAACUCGAUAAUGGAGCGACCAGGUUUGUGUUUUAGAUUUAUCUUCUUAUCACUAUUGAGCUGAUCACACUUUAGUGAAAUGCCCACCAUUGACUAUAUUGAAGCUCUGUGAUAAUUGCUUGGCCUUUGUGGAACCAUGCUUUCUAAUUGAAUCUUUUGUCAAAUAAUUGUGGUAUGUUUUAGCUGUAUGUCAAACAAUAUGAAACAGGUGGUGCUGGUUCUUUUAGUAAAGACGGAUAGACACUUGUGUUCUGUAUAAACUGUAUAAUGUUACAAUCUUAAGUGAAUAUUCUUUCACCCACAACCCAAUCUUCCUCACAUUUCUUGUUCCUCCAUUUUCUUUGAAUCCCUAUGUGUAGGAUGGGGCAGGAGCAGGAGCAAGGGAAGGUCCUGCAGCAAACGGAGACGCCUGAGGAGCCACGGCUGAGCAUUCAUGGUCAUAGCAGUCUACAGGGUGGUCAAGUACAUCUUCACAGACUUUGUGGCUCCGUUGGUGGGGUUUGUCAGGCAGACAGUUGUUACUAUCGUCAAAGACUAUUCCUCUGGAAGUCAGGUUCCUGCAGAUACCUUCUUCUUCAGAGAAAUAGUUGUCAGAGACGGUAAGGUUCUGCAGGCUAGGCAGAACGCAGACUCCAAGAGGGACAGCGCCAGUGAACAUGUUAUGGUCCAGAUUCAGCAGCUCAAGAUGUCCUAGCCCAGCGAGACUGUAAGGCACAGGACCAACUAAAC